rnacentral:rRNA from 1 species
GACGAACCGGACAAACGUUAUUCGGAAUUACUGGGCUUAAAGAGUUCGUAGGCGGCCGGGAAGGUGAGGUGUGAAAUCCCACGGCUCAACCGUGGAAUGGCGCUUCAAACCACUCGGCUUGAGGAAGGUAGGGGUGAGCGGAACUGAUGGUGGAGCGGUGAAAUGUGUUGAUAUCAUCAGGAACACCGGUGGCGAAGGCGGCUCACUGGACCUUUUCUGACGCUGAGGAACGAAAGCCAGGGUAGCAAACGGG